rnacentral:rRNA from 1 species
CCUACGGGCGGCAGCAGUGAGGAAUAUUGGUCAAUGGGCGCGAGCCUGAACCAGCCAAGUAGCGUGAAGGAUGACUGCCCUACGGGUUGUAAACUUCUUUUAUAAAGGAAUAAAGUGAGGCACGUGUGCCUUUUUGUAUGUACUUUAUGAAUCAGGCUCGGCUAACUCGGUGCCAGCAGCCGGGGUAAUACGGAGGGUCCGAGCGUUAUCCGGAUUUAUUGGGUUUAACGGGGGCGUAGAUGGGUUGUUAAGUCGGUUGUGAAAGUUUGCGGUUCAACCGUAAAAUUGCAAUUGAUACUGGCAGUCUUGAGUACAGGUGAGGUAGGCGGAAUUCGUGGUGUAGCGGUGAAAUGCUUAGAUAUCACGAAGAACGCCGAUUGCGAAGGCAGCUUACUAAACUGCCACUGACAUUGAUGCUCGAAAGUGUGGGUAGCAAACAGGAUUAGAUACCCUAGUAGUC